UGAUUUAGCCUAAAUCCUUUGGGAUAAGGUAUCAAGGAGGGUGAGAAUCCCGUCUGGUUAGAUCAAAAUGCUUUACGAUACGUUUUCUAAGAGUCGAGUUGUUUGGGAAUGCAGCUCAAAAUGGGAGGUAAAUUUCUCCUAAGGCUAAAUAAAGGCGAGAGACCGAUAGCGAACAAGUACCGUGAGGGAAAGAUGAAAAGAACUUUGAAAAGAGAGUUAAACAGUACGUGAAAUUGUUGAAAGGGAAACGAUUGAAGUCAGUCGUACCGACGAGGAAUCAACCUUUUGAGGGUGGAUAUGUGGGAUUCAAAGUGCCUUUGCUUUUCGCAUCAUCUGCUUUUUUUGGGCGUACUUUUUCGUAUGGUAGGUUAACAUCGGUUUUGAUCGUUAUAAAAUGACCGGAGGAAUGUAGCUUUGAUCUUGUAUUGAAGUGUUAUAGCCUUUGGUAGAUGUAACGGUUAGGAUCGAGGAUUGCAAUGGAUACCCUCAUGGGCUAUCCGCCUGGCCUCUGAUUUGUCACUUUGGUGCUGAAAGCGUGCUUAUGGUAUUAAAGUGUACGGUCAAAAGGUUAGAACGGAAUAAAUUCAUUAAGGAUGUUGACGUAAUGGCUUUAAACGACCCGUCUUGAAACACGGACCAAGGAGUCUAACAUAUAUGCGAGUGUUUGGGCGAAAAAACCCUUACGCGUAAUAAAGGUAAUUUAGGUGGGAUCCAUUUUAUUGGAGCACCAUCGACC
rnacentral:rRNA from 1 species